GAGCCAGCUUCCAUCGAGCAGCUGAGAAGCUUCCUGCUCCUCACCUAUGGCCAUGUGGUCCACUCAGGCCCCACGGAUCUCAUCCUAGAGACCAUAGGCUGCAAGGUCCUGUCUCCCAUGCGGCAACACUAUUUUCUGAACAAACAUGAAAUUCGAGCCUCGCCUGUCUAAGGAACAGGAGGCUGAGACCAUCAGCACUUGUAUCGUCAGCGCCAUGAUUCAGCGCCCAGCCCUGGUGAAGCUGAGAGGGACUGAGGUGGCAGAAAUCUCCACUAUCCAGGCAGAAGUUAGUGAGGCAUGGACAAAGCUGCAGCUUCCACCUGCCUCCUUGGCUGGGAAACUCAGCCACCCCCAUGCUGAGUAGCUGGACCCUGGCCCAAUGCAGAGAGCUGCGUGUCCAACCGAAUCAAGCCCCUCGGUUUAUUUUCCAAAGGGCUGGUGACAAGUGGCUAUGCAGUUAACUCUGCAGUUGGGUUGGCAGGGAGGACAGCUGUAGAGUCUAUCCAAGAACUGCCCUGGGAGGGCCUGGAUCUUGUGCUGCAGAGGUUCCUGGAGCAGCACCUGACCCCCACCAUGCUACUGCAGCUGUUUCUGCACUUGCAGCCAUGGAUCUGCUCUCCCCAGGCCCAGGAGAGGAGCCGAGCUGUGAGAUCCAGCGCCCGGCUCUUCAUGUUCUAUCGCUUCAAAGCCAUCACCGAGGACCUGAAACCCAUGACAUAGCAGGGCUACAGCUGCUGACAAGCCAGGCCUUCGAUGCUCAGGAGGCCACCAGAUACUGGGCAUCUUAGGCUCUCUACUGGCUCUUCACGCCUUGUAAAGGUAAGAUGGAGCAGUAGCAGUCACCAUUUCUCAGCCCUCACAGCCCCAGCCUUUACCUAGCGAGCAGGGCUGCAGAGAGAACAUGGCGCCUUCAUCGUAGCCCUGACCAGAGGGACAUGGAGCAGAAGUGGGUUGGUACCUACCGGGCUGA